UUGACUUAACGUUUCUCUUGCAGUAGAGCUUCUGCAGAGGGGCGUCAGUUAGCAUGAAGCUAACGGUCUGAACUGACAGGAUGUGGAGAAAAGAGACAAACAUCGAAACUAUCAGGUAAAGUCCUGGGUCAGCAGCUUUCUGCCUCCCUGCUGCAGCUCUUCAUGCGUCGCAGCUCUUCAUGCGUCGCAGCUCUAAAUGCGGCCUGCGGCUCUUCUGGGAAUCCCUGAUGCUCUUGUCCUGCAGGGUUGAGGACAGACACAGGAUCUGUCGCUGUCCGUCUGUCCCGGAGCGACGCAGCGCCAGCCGUCAAUAGUUUGCAUGUUUAAGGCAGCAGUGCUGCUAAAAUGCUCUGCAGCCUGCGGAUCCAUGGCAACAUAAACAGCACUGCUGCAACAGCCGGACUUCCUUUACCCUUGGAUUUGACACCAGAGGUUCAGGGAUUUAGCUCCGUGCUAAAUCUGUCAGCGACGCUGGACGAGUCCCAACAUUCAGCCGGAGCCGGUCCACUGGACCUCACUGCAACCAGACAACAGAUUCCACCAGAACGCAGAACCUUUCCCGUACGGAAGCCCAGAGCGGACAUUUUCAGCACGUCUUUCUCCAGAUGACCAGUUAAAUUCUCUCUCUGGCACGACAUGCAUUUAAAAAUGACCUUGAGAAAACCACCGGGGAAAAGUUUAAGAAAACGACUGGAGAUAAAUCUAAUAACUUCAUAAAAAUAUAUAAUUUCA